CAAUUUGGAGCUUCCGUUAGCGACAAAAUAAUCUCCACGUCUGAUAUCCGAUUGAUGCGGUAUCACCUUUGGGAUCAAGGUUUUGUUGAUAUUGGAGUUGUCAAGAAUUAUUAUAAUGCGACCGUAUCCGUGGAAAACCUCUUGGCCUUGGAAGUUUCUUAAUGUGCAGUAAUGAGUCGCUAUGAUCUUCAGUCAUCGUGACUGUACACAUGCUCAUCAGCUCAUGUUUAGC
rnacentral:lncRNA from 1 species